rnacentral:lncRNA from 1 species
UCCAGUUCCUUUGAUGGCUGACAAAGUGUCUGUAGUAGACAAGGUCAAAGGCCUUGAUGAGCUUCAGAAAAUAAAGAAACAUUUGGAAGCUGAAGUGAAGGCGCUGAUGGAGGCCAACGAAAAGAUGGCGCAGCAUUUUCAGGACUUUCAGCGCAAAAUAUUGGACUUCUUAGAACAGCUAUAGCGUGAAAAUGCAGAGGGAGUUGCUGCUGUGGACAAAAAGCGUGCAUGGUUCCUUUGAUGGCUGGCAAAUUGUCUGUAGAAGACAAGGUCAAGGGCCUUGAUGAGCUUCAGAAAAUAAAGGAACAUUUGGAAGCUGAAGUGAAGGCUCUGAUGAAGACCAGCAAAAAGAUGGCGCAAGAUUUUCAGGACUUUCAGCGCAACAUGUUGGACUUCUUAGAACAGAUCAACACUUAGGAUAAUGAAUUAACAAGCUCAACUGUCAUCUGUUCUACCUUCUGUGGCGUGAAACUGGAACAAUAACCCGUGACAAGGGAGUGACGAAAUUUGAUUGAGAACACGCCACGGCCGCAUGUUCUCCUGAAAA